rnacentral:rRNA from 1 species
AGCGAACGCUGGCGGCAGGCCUAACACAUGCAAGUCGAACGGACCUUUCGGGGUUAGUGGCGGACGGGUGAGUAACACGUGGGAACGUGCCUUUAGGUUCGGAAUAGCUCCUGGAAACGGGUGGUAAUGCCGAAGGUGCCCUUAGGGGGUAAGAUUUAUCGCCUUUAGAGCGGCCCGCGUCUGAUUAGCUAGUUGGUGAGGUAAUGGCUCACCAAGGCUACGAUCAGUAGCUGGUCUGAGAGGAUGACCAGCCAAAUUGGGACUGAGACACGGCCCAAACUCCUACGGGGGGCAGCAGUGGGGAAUCUUGCGCAAUGGGCGAAAGCCUGACGCAGCCAUGCCGCGUGGAUGAUGAAGGUCUUAGGAUUGUAAAAUCCUUUCACCGGUGAAGAUAAUGACUGUAGCCGGAGAAGAAGCCCCGGCUAACUUCGUGCCAGCAGCCGCGGUAA